GUUUUUAGUUGUACAUUAUGCACAGUAGACAUUCCAUUACAUUCAGAGUGUGUAAAGUUACUCGAGCACCAGGCCUGGUAAGGCAAAGCGGCACUCAGAGUCAUAAAUGCACAGGUGUGUGGAUUUGCGACCUGUCGACGUGCACAUAUGGAUCUCUCCACCAGCAACAGAACGACGAGCCGACUUUUGAAGUUUCAUUAAUGAUCCUUCCGCAGGUUCACCUACGGAAA
rnacentral:misc_RNA from 1 species